UCUAGUGCUUGCAUGAUAAUAAGAAAACAAUGAAUGAAUAUGUAUAACCUUCUCCUUUAAGUUUUUCAAAAUCUAAAUUUCUUCUCUAGUAUAAAUGUUUGAUGCUGAUUUCAUGCUAAAACUUUAUUGAGCAUAAUACUUAUGAAAUCUUAUGUUAUCCUUUGUGAAGGUAUGAAUGUAAUUCAUCAUGUUAUUAUUAUACCAUUCAUU
rnacentral:lncRNA from 1 species